rnacentral:rRNA from 1 species
AUUGAACGCUGGCGGCAGGCCUAACACAUGCAAGUCGAACGGUAACAGGAAGCAGCUUGCUGCUUUGCUGACGAGUGGCGGACGGGUGAGUAAUGUCUGGGAAACUGCCUGAUGGAGGGGGAUAACUACUGGAAACGGUAACUAAUACCGCAUAACGUCGCAAGACCAAAGAGGGGGACCUUCGGGCCUCUUGCCAUCGGAUGUGCCCAGAUGGGAUUAGCUAGUAGGUGGGGUAACGGCUCACCUAGGCGACGAUCCCUAGCUGGUCUGAGAGGAUGACCAGCCACACUGGAACUGAGACACGGUCCAGACUCCUACGGGAGGCAGCAGUGGGGAAUAUUGCACAAUGGGCGCAAGCCUGAUGCAGCCAUGCCGCGUGUAUGAAGAAGGCCUUCGGGUUGUAAAGUACUUUCAGCGGGGAGGAAGGGAGUAAAGUUAAUACCUUUGCUCAUUGACGUUACCCGCAGAAGAAGCACCGGCUAACUCCGUG